rnacentral:rRNA from 1 species
CCUACGGGAGGCAGCAGUCGAGAAUCAUUCACAAUGGGGGAAACCCUGAUGGUGCGACGCCGCGUGGGGGAAUGAAGGUCUUCGGAUUGUAAACCCCUGUCAUGUGGGAGCAAAUUAAAAAGAUAGUACCACAAGAGGAAGAGACGGCUAACUCUGUGCCAGCAGCCGCGGUAAUACAGAGGUCUCAAGCGUUGUUCGGAAUCACUGGGAGUAAAGCGUGCGUAGGCUGUUUCGUAAGUCGUGUGUGAAAGGCGCGGGCUCAACCCGCGGACGGCACAUGAUACUGCGAGACUAGAGUAAUGGAGGGGGAACCGGAAGUCUCGGUGUAGCAGUGAAAUGCGUAGAUAUCGAGAGGAACACUCGUGGCGAAGGCGGGUUCCUAGACAUUAACUGACGCUGAGGCACGAAGGCCAGGGGAGCGAAAGGGAUUAGAUACCCCUGUAGUC